ensembl:processed_transcript Gm12703 predicted gene 12703
ACAUCUAGGUCUGCAGAGCCUGGACAGGCUUGCAGGUUACCAGACAAACUCCAUUGUAGUAAUCCUCCUUUGAACAAGGAGUUACUGGGAGCCAAGGCACUUUUCCAAACAGUGAAUUUGCUGAAGUCAGCAAUCCAGAAGCUCUCAGUAACAGAGAAAGGAUGAGGAGACCCAGUGGCUGCAGAAAGAAAUGGGGUCUGAACACUAGAUGCUUCGCAGUGUCUUCAUAGGAAUCUUCAAAGGCCCACCACAAGGUCGUUUUGGUUCCCAGCUUAUAGAGGUGGGACAGUGAAGUUUGAAGAUAUUAAGUACUUUCCCAAGAUCCCACACCAAAGAAAGGUAAGGCAAGGACCCAAUCCAGGUGAAGAGGUGUACUCCUGAGCCUUUUGGGUGUGCUCUGCUGUCUGUGAAAGUGCAAACAAUUUCUUGUUAAAUCAUCUAGGCCCAGGAUGGAGACCCAGAGAUAUACAUCCCAUUGCUUUGGGUCUCUGUGUUCUUAACCACGAUAUGAUAGUGUAGAUUUAAAUUUUUCUAAGGGCAGUUCUGCUCUCUGACAGUUUGUGUUUCCACAUUUACUUUUAUCAAAGGCAUGUAACAAAGGAAUCAAAUAACAGGAAGGGUGAGCCACUGGCAGGAUCCUUCCUGGGGUCAGGCGUCCAGGAAAGGCCAGAGACAGAACUGCAGGGUAAACAAACUGAGGUUGGUGUUCAUGGCACCCUUGCAGGUUUUCACCACCUCUGCAGGCCCUGACUUUACCAUCAGGCACUCUGACUCUGGCCUUAACAGUAUUUAUUAGUCUCUCGCUAUCCCCUACCUGCAAGGUGCCUGAUGCCUGCAGUUCUGGUUGCUGUCUAGCUUCAGAUAGCGCACCGUUUUGCACAAUAGUAGAAGGUGUUCCCCCAACAUGGAUAGAAAUGGACUCACACUGGGAUACAUGACUUGGCAGGAAGAGCAUGGGCCAAUUCUUCAGCUCCUUUUUUUUCCUGUAGCCAAAUGUUCCUGUGCAGUUCACAACUCACACACCUCUUUGCACCAGUUAUGAAAUGAAGUUGACUGGUAAUGUAUGUUAGUGAAUAGUACUCAUCCAUCCAUCCAUCCACUUAUCCAUCUAUCUAUCCAUUUAUUCAUCCAUCCAUCUACUUAUCCAUCUAUCCAUCCAUCUAUCCAGCAAUUAAUUCAUUUAUCCAUCUAUCCACUUAGCUAUACCCCAAGGGACUUACAAGAUAUACCUGAUCCUUUUCUUUCUACUUCAGGCUCAGCACCUCAUACCAUUGACUUAGCUUCUUUUCCACACCCAGAUGGGGUUUACACCACCUGCCCGCCACCCCCCAGAAAGGAAUCUCAUCUUCCUCUGAACUACAAUGCCAGCUUUCUAAAAGGCCACUGCCACCAAUUUUGUUCUGCAGUGUUCAUUUCCAUUUCCCUAAACAGAACAUGGAUAAACUAAGCCAGAGGAAGCCAGAAAAUUAGAGAAUCUUCCCAGUAUAUAUUUGAUCACAGUCCUUUCUUUAAGUCUUGGUAGCUUCUUGAGACUCCUAGAAUAAAAAAUGACAGUCUGUGCCUAGGUCCUCUCUACCACUGGGCCCUUGCUGCUCUCCAAACUUUAUCUUGGAUCACCAUUUUUCUGAUUGCUUUUCUCCAAUUUUUCUGAGGAGUGCCCUAAGCAUCUGCUACUCCACCCACAGCACUGGUCCUCUGAGGACCCACUUAGGAAAACAUUAAGUGUCAGGCAUCAAGAUUCAGUAGGUUCUUCCCUCAUCCCCCAGAAGUGGUCAUCACCCUUAUAAGUCUUUAGCCCCAUCAAAGUAACUAUGGCACAAUCACCUAUGAGAUAAUUGGCACUGUUCCCUCCAUUCAGAAUGUCAGUUGCAAGACACAGUACCUGGGUUCAUCACUGGUUUUCUGACUCCUAUCCUAGUGUCUGGCACAUCAUCUAUACUUGAGAAACUUGUACUGGAUGAAUGCUGGGUUUUCUGUCUUGGACAAAUUAAGAUCUAGUUAAAGUUCCCACUUGAGAAUCCCCUAAAUGACCUGUAAGUCUUGUGGUACAAGGGGAAGG